rnacentral:tRNA from 1 species
GCCUUGGUGAUGAAAUGGUAGACAUGUAAGACUCAAAAUUUUGUGCUAACAAGCAUGGAGGUUCGAAUCCUCUCCAAGGCA